GGUCGGUCGGUGUGGCGAGGCAGGCAGCCAGUGUAAGCGCGCGCGAGGUGGGGCCAAGCGCCGGAUGGCAGAGACCGAAAUUGGUGACCUAAGAGAAAAAAGAGAAGAGCGAAGUGAAGGGAGGAAUAGAAGAGAGCCAAAUAGGGCAAAACAGCAGUAAGUCACAAGUGCACAGACCUCAAGAAGAGAGAAAAUAACA
rnacentral:lncRNA from 1 species